UUCUUUUAGCACCACAUAUUCUAAAACUGAAAAGAUACAGAGAAUACUAACACAGCUCCUAUGUAAGGAUAUCAUAAAGAGUUCCAGAUAGGUAGAUAAUAGAU
ensembl:snRNA Gm22528 predicted gene, 22528